rnacentral:rRNA from 1 species
GUAGGAUGCAAGCGUUAUCCGGAAUUAUUGGGCGUAAAGAGUUCGUAGGCGGUUUGUUAAGUUGGAUGUUAAAUCUUUGAGCUCAACUCAAACACGGUAUCCAAAACUGGCAAGCUAGAGACUGGUAGAGGUAAGUGGAAUUCUGCAUGUAGGGGUAAUAUCCGUAGAUAUGCAGAGGAACACCAAAAGCGAAGGCAGCUUACUGGACCAGUUCUGACGCUCAAGAACGAAAGCGUGGGUAGCGAACGGGGAUUAGAUACCCCGGUAGUCCACGCCCUAAACUUUGAACACUAGGUGUUGGAGGCUUCGACCCCCCUUCAGUGCCGACGCUAACGCAUUAAGUGUUCCGCCUGGGUAGUACGAGCGCAAGCUUA